rnacentral:rRNA from 1 species
UACGUAGGGUGCGAGCGUUAAUCGGAAUUACUGGGCGUAAAGCGUGCGCAGGCGGUGAUGUAAGACCGAUGUGAAAUCCCCGGGCUUAACCUGGGAACUGCAUUGGUGACUGCAUUGCUGGAGUAUGGCAGAGGGGGGUGGAAUUCCACGUGUAGCAGUGAAAUGCGUAGAGAUGUGGAGGAACACCGAUGGCGAAGGCAGCCCCCUGGGCUAGCACUGACGCUCAGGCACGAAAGCGUGGGGAGCAAACAGG